AGAGUUUGAUCAUGGCUCAGAUUGAACGCUGGCGGCAGGCCUAACACAUGCAAGUCGAGCGGUAACAGAGAGAAGCUUGCUUCUUUGCUGACGAGCGGCGGACGGGUGAGUAAUACUUGGGAACUUGCCUCUAGGCGGGGGACAACCACUGGAAACGGUGGCUAAUACCGCAUAAUGUCUACGGACCAAAGUGGGGGACCUUCGGGCCUCACACCUAGAGAUGGGCCCAAGCGGGAUUAGCUAGUUGGUGAGGUAAAGGCUCACCAAGGCGACGAUCCCUAGCUGUUCUGAGAGGAUGAUCAGCCACACUGGGACUGAGACACGGCCCAGACUCCUACGGGAGGCAGCAGUGGGGAAUAUUGCACAAUGGGCGCAAGCCUGAUGCAGCCAUGCCGCGUGUGUGAAGAAGGCCUUCGGGUCGUAAAGCACUUUCAGUGGUGAGGAAGGUCAGUAAGUUAAUAGCUUGCUGAAUUGACGUUAGCCACAGAAGAAGCACCGGCUAACUCCGUGCCAGCAGCCGCGGUAAUACGGAGGGGGCUAGCGUUGUUCGGAAUUACUGGGCGUAAAGCGCGCGUAGGCGGACUAUUAAGUCAGGGGUGAAAUCCCGGGGCUCAACCCCGGAACUGCCUUUGAUACUGGUAGUCUUGAGUUCGAGAGAGGUGAGUGGAAUUCCGAGUGUAGAGGUGAAAUUCGUAGAUAU
rnacentral:rRNA from 1 species